CCCUGGAAGUCAGCGGCACAGACUCAAGCCCUGGGGAAAACACAAACUCUGCCACCUCCCAGGCGUGCCUUCACAGUUCUUUCCAGCAGCCGCUUAUUACCCUAGCCCAGGGCCCCUGGAAACGAGACCUGGGAAAAUCUUCUGCACAAUCGUCCAGGGAGGCACAGGGAGGUGAAAUGACGAGCCUGGCAGCCAACAUCAAACCCAGGGAAUUCUCAGGCCUGAAGAGAUGGAGAAAGCAGCAGGGAAGGAGAAAUGUGAGACGCAGAGAAGGAAAUCAGGAUCAGAAAGCCCCUGCCUGGAGCUGGAGGGCACAGAAACUCGUGUCCCUUUGAUCUCCGGCCCUGUCUGCUGCCCCCAGCCCUCUCCCUCUCACCUCCGACACCCACCUCCCUGCGGGCCCCCCCUUCUGAAACUCCCCUGUCCCCCCUGCCUCUUCCCUCCUGCAGAGGAGAGAGAAAAGGGACAGCUGGGUGUUUAUUCAGCGCUAUUUCACGCGACACCCCACCACUUGCUCCAAGUCCCCCUCCCCUUCUUUCCGUGAUUGCCGUGAGCUUACCAAGUACAGCUUGUGGCACGCAGACAGGCCGCCAUGGAGCCGGAGAGAAGAGGCGCAGGUCCAGGGGCCCUGGGAGGUAAACUGAGGCAGUGAGACCCCGAGGCGGCCCGAGCGGCGGAGAAGCAUGUUGGAAACUGAGGCACUGUGGCCUCGCAAGGAGAGAUGUGCUGUCUCCAUGGCUACGCUGGUGCCAUAAGGAAUGCAAGGCUUGAAUGCUUAAUGGCUAUCAGGACUAUGCCACAGGCAGAGAUAAAAUGAGCACAUGCAUUUUAUAGUAAAUAGAACUCUUAGACUUUGCACCUUGAGAUAAGAUUUUUUUAAUUCCUUAGAUCGUGAGUAGUGGUACUAGUUCAUUGCAAGUUGCUGCUUGUUGUCACGUAGACUGGGGUAUAUAGAGAGCCCCUUGAAAACAAUAAAGUUGUCUAAUGAGUCUGUCCUCUUAGACCCCCGGAUCCCAGUCUUC
rnacentral:lncRNA from 1 species